rnacentral:rRNA from 1 species
UACAGAGGGUGCGAGCGUUGUCCGGAAUUACUGGGCGUAAAGCGCGCGUAGGCGGAUCUGCAAGUCGGGGGUGAAAUCCCGAGGCUCAACCUCGGAACUGCCUUCGAUACUGCGGGUCUCGAGUCCGGGAGAGGUGAGUGGAAUUCCUAGUGUAGAGGUGAAAUUCGUAGAUAUUAGGAAGAACACCAGUGGCGAAGGCGGCUCACUGGCCCGGUACUGACGCUGAGGCGCGAAAGCGUGGGGAGCAAACAGG